CAACGGCGUAGCGCGGCAUCAGCGCCACUCCGUGCCCGGCGGCGACGAGUGUUUCGGUCACUCGAAAGUCGUUGA
rnacentral:tRNA from 3 species